rnacentral:lncRNA from 1 species
AACCGUGGAGGGCGACCACAGUAAUGUUAUCUGUUCUAGUUUCAACUCACCAAUGGGGUCUUUGGUGCAUUAUACCAAGAGGUAAAUCGUAUCACAAAGGAAAAUCUUAGAGGCCUUCAUUCCUACCCGUGUUGUUCAGUUAAACACAGGGGAUGAUUUACAUUCAUAGUUAUUUAAUAUAAUGUUUUCGAGGAGACCCUUUAAUAAUUGGUCAGUUAACUAUAGUUAGUAAAUGAUCAAUAGCAAUUGAUUGUCUUUAGGAUCUGAUAGUCUAUUUAGGGAUAAAGAGAAGACUGUCUUUAGGAUCUUAUAGUCUUUUUGGGGUGUCUUUGAUACAUUAAAAAAACUGGAGACCACCUAUAAAGGAAAAUAUGCUAAAGGAAAAUUAAUAUUGCAUCUGCAAUAUGUUACAGAGUAAGAGACAUGGGUGAAAGAGUUAUCCGGAAUGGAAUGCUGAGGAGACCCUAAAGGGAAUUUCCGGGUGGAUGGCCAGCACUGUCACUCGAUGAGUGGAGGAUUGACAAACUUGCCAAAUACUGCAAGAAAAGAUGUUGCUGAUCACGGAUAGGAAAUACUCCAAGUCCCAGGAGAUAGUCUGUUCUUAGGAGACUUCCACACCAAGUCUGCUGACCAGAGAAGGACCAGUCAACCACCACACUCUCCGCUGGAGCCCACUCAGCACCAGGAAGUAUUUGGGAGUUCUUCAUUCCAGACAUCUGUGCCAACAUGGCACUUGGGAUUCUUUUAAACUCCAAGUGUUGUUCAUUUUUUGUUUGUUUUUCAGGAAGGAAACAGAUGGAAAAACCUAGACUUGGUAGGGAAGUGAUUGAAUUGAUUAUAUUAUACCCAUGUUAUAGAAUGCAGUUAUUAAACACAGUAACAUAUAUUUCUAUAGUAAUAGCAAGCAUUUAUUGAACCUUGAGUGUGUGCUAGGUAAUAGUUUAAAAUACUUUUCUUGAAUUAACUCAUGUGAUCGUCUCAGCUCCCUUAGAUCAGUGCUAUUAUCAAUAUCAUCCUCUGAGAGACAAAGCUGUUAAAUUACUUUGCCCAGAUGACAUGGCCAGUGAGUAUGGAGACAGACCGGAAAUUAAGGUGACUAGCUCCACAGCCUGUGCCCUUAACUAAUGUGGUGCAAUCUCUGUUUAAAGAUGUCUUGAGCUGACAGCCAUGAUCUAUUGUUAAGGGAGGAUGAGUAUUAUUAAUACAUAGUAUUUUGAAAUCGUAUCACAAAGAAGUCAAUGGCAUGAAAAGUGAUCCAUUCCCUCUGUGACCUUGGUAAGUCCUACCCAUUCUGGGCCUCAUCCGAUCCUCUGUUUCUUUAAGUAGGGAUCUGCUCUGUAUACCUCACAGAGGGUAUGAAUCAAUGAAAUCACAUGGGUAAAACUGGAUAAAACUGCUUUGCCAAUCACUUUGUAAUAAAAUUUUAUUUUUAAGAGUAUUCUUAUUGAUAUUACCAUAUAAAUAUAGAACAUAUGUAUUACAUAAAUUUGAUAUUGCAUAUUAUACUUUAUAUAUCAUAUAAAUCAUAUUAUUGAUACUGUUAUAAAAAUCUAGGUCAGUGUUAAAGUGUGUUUAAAGGGAAGAACAUUAUUUGAUAAGCAAUUAAACAUUAUGUGAAUUAAAGGGUGUUAUCAAAUUUGGGAAACAUGCAGGUUUAUCAAAAUUAAUUUUUUUAAUUGUAGAAUUUCUCAGACGCUUCAGUAUGUUAAUGUGUACUGAAUAGCCAAGAAAGUGAGAUCAUAUAGCAUUUCUCAAAUACAUUCAUCUAUGAAACGUGUUUUCCAAGUUUCUGCUGAGAUGACUGUUUUGGGGAAAAUAAUUAGGUAGAUACUGCUGUAUGUGGAGCGUGUGUGUGUAAAAUACUUAGAGAUCCCCUAGCUCCAUUCUCUGGUAUCAUCACCCUUUGCAUCCUUGUCUGCAUGACUAGGUCUAUACCUGUGGUUCUAAUUUCUUUUUUGGACUGUAGACCAACUGGAUGUUUAUUCAUUUAUUCCACAAACAUGUUUUUGUUUGCCUACUAUGUGCCAGGCUCUGUUCUAGAUUCUCGGAAUAUAGCAGUGAACAAAACAGAUAAAACGUGCCUGCCCCUGUGGGACUGAGAUUCUAGUGGGGAAGACAGACAAUAAACAAAGUCAAUAAGUAAAUUGCCCUCUAUAGGGAAAUAAUGUAAGUGCUAUGGGGAGAAAUAAGCAGGGAAGGGAUGAGGGAGUGCUGGGUGGACUCCACUGUGCAGGGGUGGGGUAGGUCUGCAGUUUCAACAGGGCAGGACCUCAGAAGGCCACACUGAGGUGACAUGGAGCAAAGACUUGAAUGAAAUGUGGGAGAAGCCAAGAGACUAUCUGGGAGGAGCAUUUCAGGCUCAGGGAACAGCAAAUCCAGGACAACAAGGAACAUGCCUGGUACUUUCUGGAAACAGCAAGGGGGCCAACAUGGUGGAGCAGGGAGAGUGAGGUGCAGGAGUGUGAGGGGAUGAGGGCAAGGAGUUAACAAGUGUGAAGAAGGUGGUAGUAGGUCUGAACACGUUCCUCUAAAAUUCAUGUUGAAACUUAAUCUCCAAUAGGUGAUAUUAAGAACUGAGGCCUUUUGGGAAGUGAUUAAGUCUUGAGGGCUCUGCCCUCCGUGAAUGGAACUAUAAAAAAGGUUGAAGGGAGCUGGCUUGCCCCUUGCACCACAAGAGGACACAUAGAAGGUGCUGUCUUAUGAGGCAGAGAGCAUGCCCUCCCCAGACAGAGAACCUGUUGGCACCUUGAUCUUGGACUUCCCAGCCUCUAGAACCACAGGUAAGAAAUUUCUCUUGUUUAUGAAUUACCCAGUCUAAGGUAUUUGGCUAUAGCAGUCUGAAGGGACUAGACUAAGAAAGGAGGAGAGUGGCAGAUAGUUUAGAGACUUAGAGUGAAACAGAAGACAGGAGAAUUUUGAAUGAGAAAGUGACAUGAUCUAAGGUUUUUCAAGGAUUGCACUGGCUGCUCUGUUGAGAGCAGACUGUUGGGGCACUUUAUACAUUAAAUAGAUCCCCAAACAAAUGUUUUAUCUUUCCCUGUAAACCAGGUCCUGCAUUGC